AGAGUUUGAUCCUGGCUCAGGACGAACGCUGGAGGUAUGCCUCAUACAUGCAAGUCGAACGAGAUUUGAUAGAGCUUGCUCUAUCGAUGAGAGUGGCGCACGGGUGAGUAACGCGUGGGUAACCUGCCUCGAAGUUUGGGAUAACAUUGGGAAACCAAUGCUAAUACCGACUAAUUUUUAUUACUGUAUGGUGAUUUAAUAAAAGAUGCCCUCUUCUAUGGUAUCGCUUCGAGAGGGGCCUGCGUCCUAUUAGCUAGUUGGUGGGGUAACAGCCUACCAAGGCGAAGAUGGGUAGCCGGCUUGAGAGAGUGAUCGGCCACACUGGAACUGAGACACGGUCCAGACUCCUACGGGAGGCAGCAGUAGGGAAUAUUCCGCAAUGGGCGAAAGCCUGACGGAGCAAUACCUCGUGAGUGAUGAAGGCUUUAGGGUCGUAAAGCUCAGUCAGCAGGGAAGAAGGGUUAUGGUUCGAAUAGGGCUAUAGCUUUGACGGUACCUGCAGAGGAAGCCACGGCUAAUUACGUGCCAGCAGCCGCGGUAAUACGUAAGUGGCAAGCGUUGUCCGGAUUUACUGGGCGUAAAGAACGCGUAGGCGGUUUUCUAAGUUGGGGGUGAAAUCCUGAGGCCCAACCUCAGGCCUGCCUCCAAAACUGGAGAACUAGAGUUUCGGAGAGGAAGAUGGUAUUCCAUGUGUAGCGGUGAAAUGCGUAGAUAUAUGGGAGAACACCAAUGGCGAAAGCAGUCUUCUGGACGAAUACUGACGCUGAGGCGUGAAAGCGUGGGUAGCGAACAGGAUUAGAUACCCUGGUAGUCCACGCCGUAAACGAUGGGUACUAGUUGCUGGGGAUAAUAGUCUUCGGUGACGAAGUUAACGCAUUAAGUACCCCGCCUGGGGAGUACGGUCGCAAGAUUAAAACUCAAAGGAAUUG
rnacentral:rRNA from 1 species